UGUGUGCACUUGUUUUGUGCUAAUUACUGAAAAUGACUGGAAAAGGACUUGUAAGAGGAAAUUCAGGAAAUAUGCCAUUUGUAGAUUCUUGCAAAUUUCUUCGCUGGCAAUGAAGAUGAUUUUGGAGUGGAGAUGAGAGGAGUAAAGACCACAAGGAAACUAUAGCACUAUUUACUUUGAUGGACUUGGUUUGGCAUCCUUUUCAGAUGAACACAACCUGUGCCAUUCGAGAUACAUGCAGAACAGAUUCAAGUGAAGUAUUGAAAUUUCUGAAUUGGUGGCUGGAAUCAGUAAUGGACUCAACAAGGAAUCAGUAGGGGACUGAAUGAAGACCAAAUACUGAAACAAUCCACAUAAGAUAAUUGUUCUCUUGGAAGGCAGUCCAUCCUACAAGGGAGAUGAGGUUCAACCAGCUUGGAAAUGGUGUGCAAUGCCUUCCAUCAGUUUCAGCCAGUGUACCAGCCAAAAUCCAACUUGCUGCAAAAGGCUUCCCCUUCUCCUCAUGUUGCAAGAAACCUGCAAGGAGGUUAUUAAUAUAACACAAUGUGAAGAAUCAGUUCAAUGAAGCAGUGUCACGACAUCUAAAAUAUGGUGGAAACAUCUUCCAAGAAACCCACUAUCAAAUGCCCUUUGAGGUUUACUGUACACUUGUAGCUCCAUUGCAACACUUAGGAAGCUUCUGUUAAGAUGUACCACUGCAAAGGAGAAGAAAAACCUGCCUUUGCCUCAAGAUGAAGGGGGGAAAAAUCAUAUAUACCCAUUCUUAUAUCAGAAGCAAAAGGCAGACCUUGACAAGGCACAAACAAAAGGAAACCUAUAGGCAUAGCUACAAAUGUAGGCAGAAUACUAACUGAAAUUAAAAUUUAUUACUGAUCUACAGAGGAAAAAAAGUGAAAAUUAUUUACUGGCAUAUCCAGAUCCCAGAAAACAUGACAACAACAUAAGUACAAAAAUCUAAGUUACUUGGCAAAACGAUUUAGAAAAAUGAGAAACCUCACCCCAGUACGGGACUUUCCUCGUAUUUGAUGCUAUCUAGUGUGCAGCACAAUGCAGCAUAAAGGGUAACUAGAAGAUUUACAAUCUGAAGAUGAAGAUUUUACUUUGCCAUGGUGAAUUCACUGUUCAUAAAAACAGAAAGAGAACACUUCACUGGAAAAUGUUGGCAGACCUCUGGGGAGUAACAGGGCACGUUAAUUUAUAUGACAUGCUGUCCUGUUUCUUUUGUAGAGGCCCACAGGAGGGGUUUGCUACCCUGAGCUUUUAUUUCGGUCCCUAAUGAAAAAGCAAAAGGUUUAAGCCCAUUUAUUGUGCAGUAUA